CACCGUGAGGAGGAAUCUGAAAGAAGCCCGAGGCAAACCUUUGAUCCGACGAACAGAAACUUCGUCAGGCAUAAGCAAGAGGAUAAGGCUGCAAAACAAGCCGAAGUCCAAAAGCUACACGGAGCUUGCAAUGUAAACGAAGCGGAUGCAUGAAGGAAAAGAUU
rnacentral:ncRNA from 1 species